rnacentral:rRNA from 1 species
UACGUAGGGUGCAAGCGUUAAUCGGAAUUACUGGGCGUAAAGCGUGCGCAGGCGGUGAUGUAAGACAGUUGUGAAAUCCCCGGGCUCAACCUGGGAACUGCAUCUGUGACUGCAUCGCUGGAGUGCGGCAGAGGGGGGGUGGAAUUCCACGUGUAGCAGUGAAAUGCGUAGAGAUGUGGAGGAACACCGAUGGCGAAGGCAGCCCCCUGGGCCAAUACUGACGCUCAUGCACGAAAGCGUGGGGAGCAAACAGG